AAAAGCACAGAGUUGGUCCUAUCCACUGGUUUCUGUCGCACAGCACGGUAUCUAACAGAACAGGAGAGUGAGAGACAGCAAGCAGCCUGUCUUCGGGUAGCCUGGGGCUGAGUCUCUGAGACACGAUCCUAUCCGCCACACACAACAUGGGGACGAUCUGGAGCCGCACCCAACUUCCGUUUCCGGUGCAGAGGCUGCAUCACUUCCCCUCCAGUCGCCCCGGAGCUUCCUGGAAGCUAGGAAUAUGAGGAAGCCCUACUCCUUUCUUCUUCCCUGCAGCGCAGCGGGACCGCGCAGUGACCCCAAUUGUGGUGGGCAGCAGAAGCUCCCAGGUAGCUGAGAAGUUCAUGGAAUCUUCUUACUGGUACAACCUUCACUAUUGAUUGUGUUACAGUGCAAGGGGCUCAUCAGCUGGCCCAGGAGGGCUGCUUGCCCACUCAUGGUUGCCACGAUGUUUGGCCAUUCCCCAGUCCAGAGUGACCUUCUGGUGUUGUCAUCAUCAUUGAGCCCUUUGCAGCCUGACCACACUGGGGCCAGUGUUCCAAGUUUGGGAACAUUUGCUGGCAGAGCCUGUGUUUGGGAGCGAGAGCAGUGUUUAGGUAGAAAUAGAUGCUGAAAACAGCUGCUGGCUUCUCUGCCUUGGUAAGAAGGAGCCAUGGAGGGCAUGAAGGAAAGCUGCCAAGGAUGCUGUCUUGAUCUGCUCUGAGCCGUGAUUCCUGCAUCUGAAAGGAGGAUAGAGUGAGAGCUUCAUCAACAGAGAUCUGCUCUGCUCCAUGAAUCCUGUCAUGUGCAGGUCACCACUUUUUUCAGGAGGAGAGGCCUCCAUUAUAGGCCUGAGGUCUCAGGAGCCAGCACCAGGCCUGUCUGAGGUGGAGCUGGCUCCUAGCACAGGUACCAGGGUGUAAGGGGACACUCCAACUUGGAGUUGACCCCAUCCUUACCUCUUACCAGCUGUGUGGCCUGAGCUGGGAAUGACUGUCUCUGAGCCUGUUUCUUUAUCCGAGAACCAAGGAGAAUAAAAGUCUGUAUCUCAGAGGCUACUGUGAAGGUUAAAUAAAUAAAAUAGUAAUAGCCAACA